UGUUAGUGGGCUGGACAACUUUAGA
rnacentral:piRNA from 1 species